rnacentral:rRNA from 1 species
UACGGGGGGUGCGAGCGUUGUCCGGAAUCACUGGGCGUAAAGGGCGCGUAGGUGGUUUGAUAAGGGUGUGGUGAAAGUCCGGGGCUCAACCCCGGAUCUGCCGUGCCGACUGUCAAACUCGAGGACUGUAGAGGCAGACGGAAUUCCGGGUGUAGCGGUGGAAUGCGUAGAUAUCGGGAAGAACACCAGUGGCGAAGGCGGCUGCCUGGCCUGUAACUGACGCUGAGACGCGAAAGCGUGGGGAGCGAACCGG